GAUGAACGCUGGCGGCGUGCUUAACACAUGCAAGUCGAACGAUGAAGCCCAGCUUGCUGGGCGGAUUAGUGGCGAACGGGUGAGUAACACGUGAGUAACCUGCCCUUGACUCUGGGAUAAGCCCGGGAAACUGGGUCUAAUACCGGAUAGGAGCGCCUGUCGCAUGACGGGUGCUGGAAAGAUCUUUCGGUCAUGGAUGGACUCGCGGCCUAUCAGCUUGUUGGUGAGGUAACGGCUCACCAAGGCGACGACGGGUAGCCGGCCUGAGAGGGUGACCGGCCACACUGGGACUGAGACACGGCCCAGACUCCUACGGGAGGCAGCAGUGGGGAAUAUUGCACAAUGGGCGAAAGCCUGAUGCAGCGACGCCGCGUGAGGGAUGACGGCCUUCGGGUUGUAAACCUCUUUCAGUAGGGAAGAAGCGAAAGUGACGUACCUGCAGAA
rnacentral:rRNA from 1 species